rnacentral:lncRNA from 10 species
GGAGCUGCAACCCUGGAGAGAUCCAGAUUUGCACCUAUGAUCUUGAUGUCUCCACAUGCUGCAAGUCACAUUGGACAGUUUGUAGUUUUGUGACUGAAUCUAACAUUAAGUUUAUUAGGGACUUUGGUCUACAUGUAAAACUCACCUGGAUGUUAAUGGAAGAGCCUCUGGGUAUUGAAACAGAAUAUAUUCAGCAUUUUGUCUGGUCUAGAAGUCAAUCAGAAUGCAAUUGUUCAUUAAGCCUCCUGCAAGCAAUAGUCACUGUGCUGUGCCAACAUUCAUCAAGUUAAGGGCCAGGAAAUGUGAUUGCCAGGGGCAGAUCUCACAGAGACAGCACAAAAGUCAGCUCGUCUCAAUUACAACGCGGCAAUGGCCUUCUUCCUUGAAACUGCAUUGUCAGAAGGGAAUCUGAGAGGCAGUUCAGAACUUUUUCACUGGGCUCACUCUCAACAGGAAUACCUGAUAGGAAACAAACUAGGAGACUUAUUUUCCUGUUCUCAAUUUUCACAAGAAUGUUUGGACUAUAGUGCCUGUGACUGACUCAAGAAAUUGAAGAAGCAAGAAUUAAGAGGAACAGUGAAUAUUUGGUGCUACAUGGAAGGAGAAUAUUGAAGUGGGAACACUUAACAGCUUUUUAGGAAGAAAGUUAAAAUCUUAGCUGUAUCUCUUGCUUUACAUUUCUAGGCAAGUUCUUUAAUUUUUCUAGAUGUAAGUAUCCUUAUGUAUAAUCUGUCUACUCCAUAAGGUUAUUGUAAGAAAUACAUAAAAUAAAGUAACUGAAAACAGUGCACAAUAAAUGAAGCUAUUAUGAUGAAGGCAAAAUAUCACCAAGAUUAUAAUAUUCCCUUUCAUUUGGAAUUGAGAGGUAGAUAGCUAUGUUUUUAACAGUCAGAUAAAGAGUUAAACUUUGGACGCAAAUGACAGUAAUCAAGAAGGUAAAAUAAGACCUAAGAACUCCUUAGAAAAUCUUCAAUUCCCAUAGGUCUCAUUAUCAGGUAAGAAUGCUAUAUGCUUCUCACAAAAGCCUGGAAAAAUGUUUGAAGCUCACUUGUCAGCAUGGAGAGACAUCCAGAAUAAUUACUGAAAACAAACGAUGGUUUUGCAAGUCCAAGAUGUUUCGAGAUGUUUUGACAGUGGAGGAAAUGCCUAGAAGCAGGUUUGACUCUUUGUAAUACUCAUUCAUCUACAUGGUUUUUCUCUCUCUUUCUCCUCCUCCCCCUCCCCGCUCUCUGUGUGUGUACUACUUAAUUUCCCCAGAAUAAAUAUAAAUAUGUUAUAGUUCUUAUAAAUUAAAAUUAUGUAAAUUUGAUCACGUGAAUGCUGUUAUCAACAUAUUAACAUACUUUGUAUCUAUUUUCACUGUGAUUUACCAUGUAUUAGUAAUUGGCAAAAGGCCCUGUAUCAUUCCUGGAACAGUCCCAUUGCAGUGAGAAUUCUAGUUGAGCUCAUGCUGUUUCUACCACCACGUGUAAGGAAAGCCCACAGCAUAAUUCACCAUCAGGGUUUCCUCUUUCACUCAGAAGCCUAUGGCAUGCAAGCCUGUAAUUCUGGUAUGCGUGACUCCAUGGAUGAGGAAUUGGAGUCUUGCUUGAAGGGUUGGGCUCAAAGUUACUGUACGGCACAUGGCCACUGUGUUACUGAGCAACUGGGUUUGUUUUCUCAUUGCUGGGAUUCCCACUUUGCUCUCAUAGAUGCAUGUAACAUAAUUUAUCUGUGUGGUGUGUUCUAAUUCUGUGUAAGGAGGGCUGCUGACAGCAACCCAAGCUUGGCAAGGGUGGGACUUUGGUUAUAUAACAUUUGCCUCUUUCAGUUUUUGUCAUAAUAAAUUUUCCAUUAUAAAGAUGAGCUAUAUUGAUGCUAUUGUCACACUUUUGCUUGCCACCACCUGUUCGAAAAUCUUCUACCACUGGUCCUUGUCCCACUCUUCUGCUGAUGUACUAAGUUUUAAUGUCGAGAAGUCUGUGUGAAAGUAGCUGAGAGAGGAUAAGGGAAUGACGUACUUGCCAGUAAGGAUGGCGCUUACUGGAAAUGUAUUUCAGACUAGUCUGAC